AGGACAAAAGCUCCUGCAAACAAAAAGAAAAAAAGAAGCUAAUAUCAAGCCUUAAGGAAAAUAAGAGAAGAAUUAGUGCCAAAGUGCACUACGUAACUAACCUAAAGCAAAAGGAGGUAGGGUAUGAAGCAAUUGAAAUUUGGCAGAAGUGAUCGGAGGCAACAAAAGAAGAGAGUUUACUUCUUUCUAAUGAAGGGAUUUUUGGAAUAGAGGAGAACAAGCUAGGUAGUUGAAGAAGUUGAACGAGUGCUCGAGCUGGCGCGCUUGAUAUUUUGGCGCGAGUACUAGACAUCAGUUGACGCGAGUGAGGA